rnacentral:rRNA from 1 species
UACGUAGGGUGCGAGCGUUAAUCGGAAUUACUGGGCGUAAAGCGUGCGCAGGCGGUUCUGAAAGUCAGCUGUGAAAGCCCUGGGCUCAACCUGGGAAUUGCAGUGGAUACUGGCGAGCUAGAGUGCGGUAGAGGAUGGUGGAAUUCCCGGUGUAGCGGUGAAAUGCGUAGAGAUCGGGAGGAACACCCGUGGCGAAGGCGGCAUCCUGGACCGACACUGACGCUGAGGAGCGAAAGCCAGGGGAGCAAACGGG